AGGCGACAACGGGUAGCUGGUCUGAGAGGAUGGUCAGCCACACUGGAACUGAGACACGGUCCAGACACCUACGGGUGGCAGCAGUCGAGAAUCAUUCGCAAUGGGGGAAACCCUGACGAUGCGACGCCGCGUGGAGGAUGAAGGCCUUAGGGUUGUAAACUCCUGUCAAGAGGGAAUAAGCAAGUGAAGGUACCUCUAGAGGAAGGGGCGGCUAAUUCCGUGCCAGCAGCCGCGGUAACACGGAAGCCCCGAGCGUUGUUCGGAUUCAUUGGGCGUAAAGGGUGCGUAGGCGGCGCGGAAAGUCCGGCGUGAAAGGCAAAGGCUCAACCUCUGGACUGCGUUGGAUACUUCCGUGCUUGAGGACUGGAGGGGAGACUGGAAUUCACGGUGUAGCAGUGAAAUGCGUAGAUAUCGUGAGGAAGACCGGUGGCGAAGGCGAGUCUCUGGACAGAUCCUGACGCUGAGGCACGAAGGCUGGGGAGCCGGACAGGAUUAGAUUACCUGUGGUAGUCCGCGCGAGUAAACGAUGUGAGCUUGAUCUGUGGGGAUUCGACCCCUUCGGUGUCGAAGCUGACGCGAUAAGCUCUCCGCCUGAGGAGUACGGCCGCAAGGGUGAAACUCAGAGAAAUUGACGGGGACCCGCACAAGCGGUUGAGUAUGUGGCUUAAUUCGAUGCAACGCGAAGAACCUUACCUGGCCUUGACAUGCAUUGUGUCGUCGGUGAAAGCCGGCUAGUCCUGGAAACAGGACGCUUUGCACAGGCGCUGCAUGGCUGUCGUCAGCUCGUGUCGUGAGAUGUUGGGUUAAGUCCCGCAACGGGCGCAACCCUUGUGGUCAGUUACUAACCGGCUUAGCCGGUGGACUCUGGCCAGACUGCCCUGUCAAACGGGGAGGAAGGUGGGGACGACGUCAAGUCAGUAUGGCCCUUAUGGCCAGGGCUGCACACGUACUACAAUGCCCGGUACAAUGUGAACCGAAACCGCGAGGUGGAGGAAAUCGCUCUUGAAAACCGGGCCCAGUUCGGAUUGGAGUCUGCAACUCGACUCCAUGAAGUCGGAAUCGCUAGUAAUGGCGUAUCAGCAACGACGCCGUGAAUACGUUCCCGGGUCUUGUACACACCGCCCGUCACAUCAUGGAAGUCUCCUGUACCCGAAGCACGUGC
rnacentral:rRNA from 1 species